CCCAAUCCCGAUUCAGCCGCCGCCAACCACACGUGGUAUCCUCCUUGAUUUCCCCUCCUGCCCAAUCCUGUGGAGCCUCCUCGCUUGACAGUGCCCGAGGCCACCUCCUCUGCUCGAUCCCAGGGGAAUCACAAGUAGCUCAUCCCCGGCAACCAGAUCGCUGGACGUGUCUAGCUCCCAGCAGACGCAAGCGCUCGCCCCGAACUCCUUGAUUCGCCGAGCACGAGCACCACCUCAUGAACGCCUCUUCGGUCGGCCGCCCUGCAGGAGCUUCAUCUGCGCCACCGUCCGGCCGUCGGACCAGCAUGUCCCCAGCUCAUGUCUUUUUUCCUUCUUGGUUCUCCUUCCUCCUACCCUUCUUCCUCCCCUUCUCUCAUGUCUCUCUUGCUCUAUUGCAUCAGGUUCCAGCCAGGGAGUAUGCCAUGAAUGGCUGGCCUUAAGCUUGUGUGGUGAGUCCCUCAAUCACCGGGAACGAGACCAAUGCCUCAAGAUCCGGCGCCCCAAGGCCUCGAUCCGGUUCGUCCCCGUCGCCUUCGGCCAGGACCUCAUCACCCUCGCCGUCCCCGUGUAGUUCUUGCCGGAUCACGCCUCUGCUUCGCCACUGACCAUCGACCCCGAGCCCCUGGUGAGCGCCCUGCCUACAACCCGCUUUGCUUCAUCGCUUGCACGCGAGACGAGCCAGCCCCCCGUAGCUCAUUUGCAUGCACGCACGCACGCACGCACCAACACACAUUCCCGCACGCCCGCAGCUGCUCUGCAUCGUUGUGAAGGCUUGGCCUUGCCCAGCUUAAGAAGCAGCGUCUAGCCUCUAAACACUCGCUCACAGCAAGCCUAGUUGGCUAGCAAGCCAGUCUUCCUUCCAAGAGAUAGUGGGUUCGAUUCCUAGUGAGCACACAUUUUACUCUAUUUUGGUAUUUUUUUUCCUAGAUUUGUUCCCCAUUUAGGGGAUACUAAGGUCCUGUUUCAUACUACUUUGGUCCUUAAAAUUCAUCUUUCUUCCACAAAAGACAAGCCAAACGAGGUAACUCCACGAUAUGCUGCUCCAUAAAAAAACUAGAAUGUGGGGUACAACUUCAAAGUUUUUAUGAAGCUCAAGAGGGUGCUUCAAAUAACUCUAAAAGUUGGAGUUGGGGGAAAAUUACCCACCACUGCCACCAGUAAGUGGAUACCCCUUCAUUUCUUUCUCCUCAACCAAUCAAAUAGAUUUUUUCCACCAAAAUUUCUAUUCUUGAAGCUGGAGCUACAUAGAAGCCAAACAUUCUCUUGAUAGUGCUAUAGCUUUUGUAUGAAACUACUCUAAAGUGAAUUUGAUGAAGUGAAACUGGUUUUGGUGAAUUGAAGCAGUCCUAAACAGGCCCUAAGAAAUGGAUUUAUGUUAGGACUCGAGCCCCAGUCGGAGAGGCUAGUACCUAGCGUGUCCAUUCAAGAGGUUUGGGAUCGAAACCCAAAGCCACCCCUAUUUUUUUUUUUCUUGUUCUGCUAUAUUUGUUAUUCCCUCUCGUUUUGCACUCAGUCAGUUCCUUGGGCCGAUUUCAGCCUUGGGUCGUUACACUACGUUGCAAUUCAGUCCAUGUAUAUUUCUUUCCACCUACAGUUUGCUAUUUGUUUCUUUAGAAAAACCAUUGAUUUUAAAAUGCUUGUACUGUGGUGAAUAACUUGUGUUGAUUCUUGUUUCCGGUUUGCUUCGUCUCGAUAGAGUUCCGUAAGCAUGUCGGAAUGUGAUGAUCCAUUCGACUACAUCGAUUCGUCUGCUUCACGGAGUCGUUCUUCUUCCAAGCGGGAUCAUAGGCANNNNNNNNNNNNNNNNNNNNNNNNNNNNNNNNNNNNNNNNNNNNNNNNNNNNNNNNNNNNNNNNNNNNNNNNNNNNNNNNNNNNNNNNNNNNNNNNNNNNCCGAUGGAGAGACGAGGACUCCCGGUAGGGCUUCGCCAAGCACCGUGGGAGAGGAGGAAGAAGAAGAGCAGGGCUGCGCCGAGAGAGAGAUGGAAUUCGGUAUCUCCAAUGGGCAAACCCCCCGAUAUAUAUCGGGGCAAGGGAGGGUGGCGCCCCCUAGGGUUCCCACCCCUAAGGGGUAGGGCAGCCCUAGAUGGGGGGAGGGGGUGGCGGGGAGGAGGGGUGGCGCACCCCCUGGUGGGCCUUAGGCCCACCUGCGCUAGGGUUCCCCCCUUCCCCUCUUAGGCGCCAUGGGUUGGGUGUGGGGGCGCACCAGCCCACCCAGGGGCUAGUUCCCUCCCACACUUGGCCCAUGUAGCCUCCUGGGGCUGGUGGCCUCUCCCGGUGGNNNNNNNNNNGUGGUUCCGGCAAUUUGCCAGUGGUGCGUGAAACAUUUUCGGCGUCCAAACCCAUCCAUCGUAUAUAUCAAUCUUUAUCUCCGGACUAUUCCGGAGCUCCUCGUGACGUCCGGGAUCUCAUCCGGGACUCCGAACAACCUUCGGUAACCUCGUAUAACAAUUCCCUAUAACCCUAGCAUCAUCAAACCUGAAGUGUGUAGACCCUACGGGUUCGGGAGGCAUGCAUACAUGACCAAGACACCUCUCCAGCCAAUAACCAUCAGCGUGGUCUGGAUACCCAUGGUGGCUCCCACAUGUUCCACGAUGAUCUCGUCGGAUGAACCAUGAUGUCAAGGAUUAAAUCAAUCCCGUAUACGAUUCCCUUUGUCUAUCGGUAUAGAACUUGCCCGAGAUUCGAUCGUCGGUAUCCCAUACCUUGUUCAAUCUCGUUACCGGUAAGUCUCUUUACUCGUUCUGUAGCACAUCAUCCCGUGACUAACUACUUAGUCACAUUGAGCUCAUUAUGAUGAUGUUCUACCGAGUGGGCCCAGAGAUACCUCUCCGUCACACGGAGUGACAAAUCCCUAUCUUGAUUCGUACCGACCCAACACACACUUUCGGAGAUACCCGUAGUGCACCUUUAUAGUCACCCAGUUAUGUUGUGACGUUUGAUACACCCAAAGCACUCCUACUGUAUCUGGGAGUUGAACACUCUCACGGUCGAAGGAAAAGACACUUGACAUUAGAAAAGCUUUAGCAUACGAACAACACGAUCUAGUGCUAUGCUUAGGAUUGGGUCUUGUCCAUCACAUCAUUCUCUUAAUGAUGUGAUCCCAUUAUCAAUGACAUCUAAUGUCAAUGAUCAGGAAACCAUGAUCAUCUAUUGAUCAACGAGCUAGCCAACUAGAGGCUUGCUAGGGACACAUUGUGAUCUAUUUAUUCACACAUGUAUUAUUGUUUCCUGUUAAUACAAUUAUAGCAUGAACAAUUGACGAUUAUCAUGAACAAGGAAAUAUGAUAAUAACUAUUUUAUUAUUGCCUCUAGGGCAUAUUUCCAACAGUAUCCCACUUGCACUAGAGUCAAUAAUCUAGUUACAUUGUGAUGUAUCGAACACCCAUAGCAUUGUGGUGUUGAUCAUGUUUUGCUCGAGAGAGAGGUUUCCUCAACGGGUCUGCAAUGUUCAGAUCCGUGUGUACUUUACAAAUAUCUUUUACUCCUCUCUGGACCUGGUCCUGGAUGGAGUUGUAGCAGCGUUGGAUGUGCUUCGUCUUGCGGUGAAAUCUGGGCUCCUUGGCUAUGGCAAUGACUCCAGUGUUAUCACAGAAGAGUGUCAUCGGACCUGACGCGCUUGGAACCACUCCAAGGUUGGUGAUGAACUCCUUCAUCCAGAUCCCUUCAUGAGCUGCUUCCAAAGCAGCUAUGUACUCCGCUUCACAUGUAGAUGCUGCCACGACGUCUUGCUUGCUGCUGCACCAGCUCACUGCCCCACCAUUCAAAACAUACACGUAUCCGGUUUGUGACUUAGAGUCAUCCGACUCUGUGUCUAAGCUAGCGUCGGCGUAACCCUUUAAGACGAGCUCUUCGUCACCUCCAUAAACGAGAAACAUCUCCUUAGUCCUUUUCAGGUACUUAAGGAUAUUCUUGACCGCUGUCUAGUGUUCCAUACCGGUAUCACUUUGGUACCUCCCUACAAACUUAUGGCAAGGUGGUACACAACAUGGCAUACAUUAGAGAGCCCACGGCUGAAGCGUAGGGGACAGUACUCAUCUUCUCUCUAUCUGCUGUCGUGGUCGGUGACUGAGUCUUACUCAAUCUCAUACCUUGCAAAACUGGCAAGAACCCCUUCUUUGAGUUUUCCAUAUUGAACUUCUUAAAUAUCUUGUCAAGAUAUGUACUUUGUGAAAGACCUAUGAGGCGUCUCGAUUUAUCUCUAUAGAUCUUGAUGUCUAAUAUGUAUGCAGCUUCUCCAAGGUCCUUCAUUGAAAAACUCUUGUUCAAGUAGGCCUUUAUGCUCUCCAAUAACUCUAUAUUAUUCCCCAACAAUAGUAUGUCAUCCACAUACAGUAUGAGGAAAGCUACAGGGCUCCCACUCACUUUCUUGUACAGAUAGGCUUCUCCAUAAACCUGUAUGAAUCCAAACGCUUUAAUCACCUCAUUAAAGUGACUGUUCCAACUCCGAGAUGCUUGCACUAGCCCAUAGAUGGAGCGCUGGACCUUGCAUACCUUGUUAGCACUCUUAGGAUCGACAAAACCUUCUGGUUGCAUCAUAUACAACUCUUCCUUAAGGUACCCGUUAAGGAACGCUGUUUUGACGUCCAUUUGCCAAAUUUCAUAAUCAUGAAAAGCAGCAAUUGCUAACAUGAUUCAGACUGACUUUAGCUUCGCUACGGGAGAGAAAGUCUCAUCGUAGUCAACUCCUUGAAUUUGUCGAAAACCCUUUGCGACAAGUCGAGCUUUGUAAACGGUCACAUUACCGUUUGCGUCAGUCUUCCUCUUGAAGAUCCAUUUAUUUUCUAUGGCUCGCCGAUCAUCGGGAAAGUCCACCAAAGUCCAUACUUUGUUCUCAUACAUGGAUCCUAUCUCGGAUUUCAUAGCCUCAAGCCAUUUGUUGGAAUCCGGGCCCGCCAUUGCUUCUUCAUAGUUCGAAGGUUCACCGUUGUCUAACAACAUGAUUUCCAUCACAGGGUUGCCGUACUACUCUGGUGCGGAACGUACCCUUCUGGACCUUCGCGGUUCAGUAGCAACUUGAUCCGAAGCUUCAUGAUCAUCAUCAUUAACUUCCUCUUUAGUUGGCGUAGGCGCCACAGGAACAAUUUCCCGCGUUGCACUACUCUCUGAUUCGAGAGGGGGUACAAUUACCUCAUCAAGUUCUACUUUCCUCCCACUUACUUCUUUCGAGAGAAACUCUUUCUCUAGAAAGGAUCCGUUCUUGGCAACAAAGGUUUUACCUUCGGAUCUAAGAUAGAAGGUAUACCCAUAGUUUCCUGGAGGUAUCCUAUGAAUACACAUUUCUUCGCUUUGGGUUCGAGCUUUUCUGGUUGAAGUUUCUUCACAUAAGCAUCGCAGCCCCAAACUUUAAGAAACGACACCUUAGGUUUCUUGCCAAACCAUAGUUCAUACGGUGUCGUCUCUACGGAUUUAGACCGUGCCCUAUUUAAAGUGAAUGCUGCAGUUUCCAAUGUGUAUCCCCAAAAUGAUAGCGGUAAGUCGGUAAGACACAUCAUAGAUCGUGCCAUAUCUAAUAAAGUGUGAUUACGACGUCCAGACACUCCGUUACGUUGCGGUGUGCCAGGCGGCAUCAGUUGUGAAACAAUUCCACAUUUCCUUAGGUGUGUGCCAAACUCGUGACUCAAAUAUUCUCCUCCACGAUCAGAUCGUAGACACUUUAUUUUUCUGUCACAUUGAUUCUCAACCUCACUCUGAAAUUCCAUGAACUUUUCAAACGUUUCAGAUUUGUGCUUCAUCAAGUAGAUAUACCCAUGCCUACUCAAAUCAUCGGUGAGAGUGGGAACAUAACGAUAGCCACCGCGAGCUUCAACGUUCAUUGGAC
rnacentral:lncRNA from 1 species